rfam:Jatropha curcas cultivar GZQX0401 scaffold366_17, whole genome shotgun sequence.
AUUUCUGUAGUCAUGAACUGGAUCCGUUCUUUAGGACCGUACCUCUGUAUCCUUUAGUGCAAAGGAGACAGGAACCCACGUCUGAUGGAUGAAUCAUGACCGCGUGAUCGGAGCGUGAUGAGUAACGGUUUGAUGAUCCUCGUUGGGUCAUCGACGCUGUAGAGGAUCGUCCCUGGUUAGCUAAACCAACUAGGUUUGUCGCAUGGCUGUCUGACAGAUC